rnacentral:rRNA from 1 species
CAAUAGCGUAUAUUAAAGUUGUUGCGGUUAAAAAGCUCGUAGUUGGAUUUCUGCCGAGGACGACCGGUCCGCCCUCUGGGUGUGUAUCUGGUUUGGCCUGGGCAUCUUCUUGGAGAACGUAGCUGCACUUGACUGUGUGGUGCGGUGUCCAGGACUUUUACUUUGAGGAAAUUAGAGUGUUUCAAGCAGGCACACGCCUUGAAUACAUUAGCAUGGAAUAAUAAGAUAGGACCUCGGUUCUAUUUUGUUGGUUUCUAGAGCUGAGGUAAUGAUUAAAAGGGAUAGUUGGGGGCAUUCGUAUUUAACAGUCAGAGGUGAAAUUCUUGGAUUUGUUAGAGACGGACUACUGCGAAAGCAUUUGCCAAGGAUGUUUUCAUUGA